GCUGCCGCCGCCGCAGCCGCAGCUACUGUGACUUCUCCGAUUGUGUGAGCUUUGUUGGAGCCUGCGUACGUGGAUUUAUCGCUGCCACGGUCUGCGUAGCUCCAGAGGUUUAACCAUAGGAUAGAGAAACCAGAUGAGGAAACUGAGCAUCAGAAGAGACCAAACAAUUUGCUGAAGGCCCCGGUGUGUGAUGUUCCCCUUCGUGGGUCCAAGUGUUCUUAUUGUUCAGUUCCCACCUAUGAGUGAGAACAUGCGGUGUUUGGUUUUUUUGUCCUUGCGAUAGUUUGCUGAGAAUGAUGGUUUCCAGCUUCAUCCAUG
rnacentral:lncRNA from 10 species